UUUGCUUCUUGCAUCCGUUGAAUCAUUCUUUCCAAAUUAGGUAACACAUUCAUACCUAGAUGGAGUUUUGACUUAAUAGCCCUAUUUCAUUUCCUAUUUCCCACCAAAAGUUUUUGGCUUGGUUCACGUAUUAGAAACUCCUAUAGUUGCAAGUAACAUUCUGAUUUUCUCAUUGGUACUUAGACUUGUUUACACAAGGCCAUUAGUAAAUGUGGAAAUAGCAAUUCAUCAUUGCUUUUCCUAACAUAAAAUAACAUGUUCUGGUAUAUCCACAUACCAACAUAGAUUCUUUCUUUUUGUUGUAUGGCAUACAACACCGUAGCUCAAAAUGUAUUUAUGUUGGUCAUAUUAGAGGUUCAAUAAACUUGAUUAAUUAUAAA
rnacentral:lncRNA from 1 species